rnacentral:rRNA from 1 species
GCCAGAUCAUGUUGAAACGCCGGUUCUCGUACAAUCACUGAAGUUAAGCAACGUCGAGCUUGGUCAGUACUCAGAUGGGUAACCGUUUGGGAAUACCAGGU